UGGAACUCACACAACUUUUCUUCUUUUUCCGUCCCCUGGGACCGCUGCCAGUGCGUCUCGCUUCAUCGCGCAACAUGAGAGUUCGUGGAGAGAGUGUCCCGACCCCGCGAAGCGGCAGAUCCCUUGUCAGUUUCUGGGAGCGUCUUCGUGGGCGAAGCGAUCGUGUGAGAUGUGCCCCAGACAGUGGAAAGUCGCGGACCAAGGCUCUUUCUCUCUUGACACGCCGCGAGCCACAGAGAGAGCGACGCCGAGCGAAGCAGGCGCUCGUCGAGGCAGUGAGAAGCCGUCACGUCGCUUACUUUGGCGUUAACCGCGAAGACGGCGUCCUUCUCGGAGAAAAGGAAGGAAAGCGCGGCGACUGCAAGGCCGAGAAGGAGGCCGAGGCGUCGACGCCUCGCACAGAAGGCGGCCGCGCCGCGAGCCCGGCCGAGUUUCGGGUACAUUUCGACGACUUUAGAAGACCAUACCGCCCCGGCGCCGCGGAGUUCGUGUGGACGGCCCGAAAGGACAACGCUCGGACCGUUCGCGUCUGUGCAGAGAUAAAAGCAACUGGCGUUCGGCAGUCUCUCGGGAGAGGAGAGAAAGCCCCCGCUGGCCGGAAGGCUCGGGUUUUCGGCGCGUUUCAGGCGAAGUCGCCGUUCAAUCGACGUCUGAGACCGACCGGUGCUCCUCACAGACGGAACUUAAGCGGAACGUAAUCGACAUCAAGAACGGGGGGACACACGCGCCCCGGGAAAACGGGUUCUUUUGAUGACACGCGGCAAGGCUUUCUCUCGGUGGCAAGAUGCCCAUCGGAGCUAUACAGGAACGGGAACGUGGGGCUGUUCAGGGGGGACGCAGCUUUUACCGACAGAAAAAUCCACACGGCGGGGUUCCUUCCGCCGCGCGUCACAAAACCUGGAAAAACGUGACGAGAGAAGAGAGGUCCGCGGCGACUCGAAAAAGGGGGGAUUGUGCCUCCACGCGGUCGAUCCAGCCCGAGGCAGAACAAACGGAGCGGAGGCUGGAGUCCAAAGGCAGUCUCCUGUUUCGUCUGCAGAAAAGGAAAACGGCGAGAAUUCACGCCUUCACAUGACGCCUCCCCGUCACGUGGACCCUACGGAGAAGCCCCCCAAACAAACUGUUGUUUUCCCGAGUGCAAACAAGACAGCUCCGCUGGCCGUCUCCUCACACGCCGUCAGGGCCGGAAAAAACAGCGGGCGAUGUUUCUGUGCACGAGGCUGAGCGCGGUACACCCCCCUCUCCCCAACAGAGGGAUCGAGGACGCGCUUUGACGCGCGGAUGAUGUGUCUCUCUGGGGGCCCAGUCUCGCUCUCGGUUCACGGAGCGGUC
rnacentral:lncRNA from 1 species